rnacentral:lncRNA from 1 species
ACUAGGGAGGCGGAGGUGGGAGAUACCGAGCGGCAGGGUGGUGGGUCAGCCCAUCAUGCCCCCUGCUCCGUGAAGCCCUCAUGGUCUUGGACUGGGCCUUCUGACACUCUCCCGCUGAUUGCAGGAAGUUGGCCGCAUGAAGAUCGAGCUCUUUGCAGACGUUGUGCCUAAGACGGCCGAGAACUUUAGGCAGUUCUGCACCGGAGAAUUCAGGUCAGUUUCAGAUGUGUUUGACUUCUUUGCCUGCUCCAGAGGGGUGUUCUGGGGCUGCAGUGAGGGUAUCGGUGAACCACCUGCUGGCCUUGAAUGAUUGCUGGUGACAGUGAU